GCAAUGCCCAGUGGAGCCAUGGGUGCAGGGCUGCCCCUGCAACCCUAGACUGAUAAAACCAAUGGGAAGUGAUUCCAGCACCAGAGAGCCUCAGGCAUGUGACCCAAGGCACACAGCUGCUGAGGAGUUGAAGCCACCACUGAGAACUGCAUGAGGGCAGGGCCCAGGCACAGAGCUGCUGCAGGGCUGCGGGUGCCCAAACCCUUGGGGCAGGGCUGCAGCUGGAGUGCAUCCAGAAGAUGGUAUUUUUCACUGCUUCCUUCACCUCUUGGAUGCUUCAUAUUUCACAUUAUUUUAAGAACAAUUCACUCCCAGAGGAUCAUGGAUGUACAGUCAGUUUGGUCUUGCUGAGUCAACGUGUGCACGUGUUCUCACAAAUCUCCAGGCAACAUUCACUGACAAGGCAGGGGGAGCUGUGCUCAGCAUUUUCUUCAAAUUGCUGUCUGAACAGUGGUGUGAAAAUGAUGUUCACUGUUGUUUGUUUCACCCAUUCUCAGUACUGAGAGUUGUCAAAAUUACUAUUUCUGAGUACAGCAUGUGUUCUAAUUAAAGAUAAAGUGUCUUUAAGACUCAG
rnacentral:lncRNA from 10 species